rnacentral:rRNA from 1 species
UAGGGAAUAUUGCGCAAUGGGGGAAACCCUGACGCAGCGAUGCCGCGUGAGUGAGGAAGGCCUUCGGGUUGUAAAGCUCUGUCGAUGGGGAAAAAUGGUGGCCGUUCGAAUAGAAUGGUCAUUUGAUGGUACCCAUAAAGGAAGCACCGGCUAACUUCGUGCCAGCAGCCGCGGUAAUACGAAGGGUGCAAGCGUUGUUCGGAUUUACUGGGCGUAAAGGGCGUGUAGGCGGAUAGAUAAGUCAGGUGUGAAAUCUCGGGGCUCAACCCCGAAACUGCGCCUGAAACUGUCUAUCUAGAAUCUUGGAGAGGGAAGGGGAAUUUCACGUGUAGGGGUAAUAUCCGUAGAGAUGUGAAGGAACACCGGAGGCGAAGGCGCCUUCCUGGACAAGAAUUGACGCUGAGACGCGAAAGCGUGGGGAUCAAACAGG